UUAACUAAAAUUUAUAUGGAGUUGGAACGUUUGCCUACGUUUGCCGUUAGCGAUACUGUUCUAACUCCAUACAAAUUUGAGUUA
rfam:Bombyx mori DNA, contig: Bm_scaf37_contig21784, strain: p50T/Dazao, build 2, whole genome shotgun sequence.